rnacentral:rRNA from 1 species
UUUGAUGAGAUCUUCGGAUGGAUUUAAAACAGCUUAGUGGCGGACGGGUGAGUAACGCGUGGGUAACCUGCCUCACACUGGGGGAUAACAGUUAGAAAUAGCUGCUAAUACCGCAUAAGCGCACGGUUCCGCAUGGAACGGUGUGAAAAACUCCGGUGGUACAGGAUGGUCCCGCGUCUGAUUAGCCAGUUGGCAGGGUAACGGCCUACCAAAGCGACGAUCAGUAGCCGACCUGAGAGGGUGACCGGCCACAUUGGGACUGAGACACGGCCCAAACUCC